rnacentral:rRNA from 1 species
AAUAACGUCCCAGUUCGGACUGUAGUCUGCAACCCGACUACACGAAGCUGGAAUCGCUAGUAAUCGCGAAUCAGAAUGUCGCGGUGAAUACGUUCCCGGGUCUUGUACACACCGCCCGUCACACCAUGGGAGUCAGCAACGCCCGAAGUCAGUGACCCAACUCGCAAGAGAGGGAGCUGCCGAAGGCGGGGCAGGUAACUGGGGUGAAGUCGUAACAAGGUAGCCGUAUCGGAAGGUGCGGCUGGAUCACCUCCUUUCUAAGGAA